CUUCCAUAUAUUGCAUUUCUGAUCUCAAUUUGCAACAUCACAAAGCAGUAAAAAUUGUGAUGGCUCUAGUAUCAUACAUAUAUAUAUAUAUAGAUGUAAGGUACUGAGCUGUUUAGGAAAUAUAGUGUCGAAACAAACAGUGCAAGCAGGGGAGGUUAUAGACUAUGCCAACCCCUCCACCGUGUCCCUGUGCCGGUGGUUUGGAUGGGCAUCCCGUGAUUGGGAGGGUGAUGGAAAUCUUGGUUGACGGAGGGAACCUGAAGCCGUAACCAUACCGUGUCGCGCAAGUUCAAUUUUGGGUUCGUUGUGGAAGAUUCAUUUCGCAAAUCCCAGAUAUCUUGCGCCCUAAUUCGAAGGAAUUUUUCGUUUCACGCAAUCACUAAAUUUCUAUUGCGUUUCUAAAUGUUACUACAAGUUGUUCCGGGCAAAUCAAUUUGUGCAUGCGGCUCACUGCUCAGAUUCAUGAUUGGUUCAAAAUUCCAGAAUUUUCUAUAAAACUAUUUUAGAAAAAGGGUGGACUACUUGCGAAUGGUGAAGUUUAGUUUGGUCUGAACACUUGGUUAAAAGAAGCAAAAAGGAUGCAUUUGCUGUCAUUCUAGAUUUACUUGGAAAGGAUUUGAAAUUUUCAAGAACAUUUUACAUUUUACAAGCAUCUAGUUGUAGGCAGAUGGACUAUGGAAGCGAGUUCUUUGUAUGCUAUGCAAAACCUGUCUCUUGUUGAAGGAACCAUAACAUUUAUCUGUCAAAAUAAACUCCUAUUGACUUGGACUAA